CAGGCCUAACACAUGCAAGUCGAGGGGUAGAAAGAGCUUGCUUUUUUGAGACCGGCGCACGGGUGAGUAACGCGUAUGCAACCUACCUUAUACAGGGGAAUAGCCCGAAGAAAUUCGGAUUAAUGCUCCAUGGUUUAUCGAUAUGGCAUCGUAUUGAUAAUAAAGAUUUAUCGGUAUAAGAUGGGCAUGCGUAUCAUUAGCUAGUUGGUGUGGUAACGGCAUACCAAGGCAACGAUGAUUAGGGGUCCUGAGAGGGAGAUCCCCCACACUGGUACUGAGACACGGACCAGACUCCUACGGGAGGCAGCAGUGAGGAAUAUUGGUCAAUGGAGGCAACUCUGGACCAGCCAUGCCGCGUGCAGGAUGACGGUCCUAUGGAUUGUAAACUGCUUUUGUACAGGAAGAAACCUCCCUACGAGUAGGGACUUGACGGUACUGUAAGAAUAAGGAUCGGCUAACUCCGUGCCAGCAGCCGCGGUAAUACGGAGGAUCCGAGCGUUAUCCGGAAUUAUUGGGUUUAAAGGGUUCGUAGGCGGCUUUGUAAGUCAGUGGUGAAAUUUCCUAGCUUAACUAGGACACUGCCAUUGAUACUGCAGAGCUUGAAUAGUAUGGAAGUAACUAGAAUAUGUAGUGUAGCGGUGAAAUGCUUAGAUAUUACAUGGAAUACCAAUUGCGAAGGCAGGUUACUACGUAUUUAUUGACGCUGAUGAACGAAAGCGUGGGGAGCGAACAGGAUUAGAUACCCUGGUAGUCCACGCCGUAAACGAUGGAUACUAGCUGUUCGGUUUUCGGACUGAGUGGCUAAGCGAAAGUGAUAAGUAUCCCACCUGGGGAGUACGUUCGCAAGAAUGAAACUCAAAGGAAUUGACGGGGGCCCGCACAAGCGGUGGAGCAUGUGGUUUAAUUCGAUGAUACGCGAGGAACCUUACCAGGGCUUAAAUGUAGAUUGACAGAUUUGGAAACAGAUUUUUCUUCGGACAAUUUACAAGGUGCUGCAUGGUUGUCGUCAGCUCGUGCCGUGAGGUGUCAGGUUAAGUCCUAUAACGAGCGCAACCCCUAUUGUUAGUUACCAUCGCGUAGUGGCGGGGACUCUAGCAAGACUGCCGGUGCAAACCGUGAGGAAGGUGGGGAUGACGUCAAAUCAUCACGGCCCUUACGUCCUGGGCUACACACGUGCUACAAUGGCAAGUACAGAAAGCAGCUACCUGGCAACAGGAUGCGAAUCUCCAAAGCUUGUCUCAGUUCGGAUUGGAGUCUGCAACUCGACUCUAUGAAGCUGGAAUCGCUAGUAAUCGGAUAUCAGCCAUGAUCCGGUGAAUACGUUCCCGGGCCUUGUACACACCGCCC
rnacentral:rRNA from 1 species